GUUCUUACACAUGCAAGUCGAACGAUGAACCGCUUUCGGGCGGGGAUUAGUGGCGAACGGGUGAGUAACACGUGGGCAAUCUGCCCUGCACUCUGGGACAAGCCCUGGAAACGGGGUCUAAUACCGGAUAUGACUGUCCAUCGCAUGGUGGAUGGUGUAAAGCUCCGGCGGUGCAGGAUGAGCCCGCGGCCUAUCAGCUUGUUGGUGAGGUAGUGGCUCACCAAGGCGACGACGGGUAGCCGGCCUGAGAGGGCGACCGGCCACACUGGGACUGAGACACGGCCCAGACUCCUACGGGAGGCAGCAGUGGGGAAUAUUGCACAAUGGGCGAAAGCCUGAUGCAGCGACGCCGCGUGAGGGAUGACGGCCUUCGGGUUGUAAACCUCUUUCAGCAGGGAAGAAGCGAAAGUGACGGUACCUGCAGAAGAAGCGCCGGCUAACUACGUGCCAGCAGCCGCGGUAAUACGUAGGGCGCAAGCGUUGUCCGGAAUUAUUGGGCGUAAAGAGCUCGUAGGCGGCUUGUCACGUCGGUUGUGAAAGCCCGGGGCUUAACCCCGGGUCUGCAGUCGAUACGGGCAGGCUAGAGUUCGGUAGGGGAGAUCGGAAUUCCUGGUGUAGCGGUGAAAUGCGCAGAUAUCAGGAGGAACACCGGUGGCGAAGGCGGAUCUCUGGGCCGAUACUGACGCUGAGGAGCGAAAGCGUGGGGAGCGAACAGGAUUAGAUACCCUGGUAGUCCACGCCGUAAACGGUGGGCACUAGGUGUGGGCAACAUU
rnacentral:rRNA from 1 species